GAUGAAUUUGGAUCUCAUUAGAAUGAUUCGAAGUUCUCGUGUAGAGUUAAGAACCCCGUGCAAUAAAAUGCUAGACAAGGAAUAAUAAUAUUCGCAUAAAAGCAGUACUCGAACAAAAAUACUUGGAAUUGUUGGCCGCUGAGAAAAUCAACAUGGCAACUGAAUCAGCGAUAUGUUACAGCUUUUAUCACAAUCGCAUUCCAAAAGAUGUAAAACUGAUAAAACUCAGUAUGAAAUGUAAUUCCAUAUGCCCAUUAUUCUUUGGCCCAAGCUUGCUGGGGAACGUGAUCCUAACAACACAUUGCAAAUUCAUUAUAGACCUAACUACAAGUUUUAAAUCAACCA